rnacentral:rRNA from 1 species
UACGAAGGGGGCUAGCGUUGCUCGGAAUCACUGGGCGUAAAGGGUGCGUAGGCGGGUCUUUAAGUCAGGGGUGAAAUCCUGGAGCUCAACUCCAGAACUGCCUUUGAUACUGAAGAUCUUGAGUUCGGGAGAGGUGAGUGGAACUGCGAGUGUAGAGGUGAAAUUCGUAGAUAUUCGCAAGAACACCAGUGGCGAAGGCGGCUCACUGGCCCGAUACUGAGACACGAAAGCCAGGGGAGCGAACGGG